AAACAUUUUUGUAAGAAUAUAUUUUUAAUAUAACCUGCUCCAUGCAGUAAAUAGCUGCAGUAUUUUAACUGUACAAAGGUAGCAUAAUCAUUAGUUUUUUAAUUGGAAACUAGAAUGAAUGGUUGAACGUAAAAUUUUUAAAAAUAUGUUAAUUUAAUUUAUAAGUUAAAAAGCUUAUAUUUAAAAGAGUGACGAUAAGACCCUAUAGAAUUUAAAAAAAUGGAAUUUUUAUUGGGGUGAUAAAAUUAACUUUUAUAUCAUUAAAUGAUUAAUGAUCCUUUAGAUAUAAAGAUAAAAUUACCUUAGGGAUAACAGCAUAAUUUUUUUUUUAAGAUCAAUUUUAUAAAAAAGUUUAUGACCUCGAUGUUGAAUUAAUUAUAUUUAAAUGGAGGGAUUAAAUA
rnacentral:rRNA from 1 species